AGAGUUUGAUCCUGGCUCAGAUUGAACGCUGGCGGCAUGCCUUACACAUGCAAGUCGAACGGCAGCGGGGACUUCGGUCCGCCGGCGAGUGGCGAACGGGUGAGUAAAGUAUCGGAACGUACCUUUCAGUGGGGGAUAACGUAGCGAAAGUUACGCUAAUACCGCAUAUUCUGUGAGCAGGAAAGCAGGGGAUCGCAAGACCUUGCGCUGAUUGAGCGGCCGAUAUCAGAUUAGCUAGUUGGUGGGGUAAAGGCCUACCAAGGCGACGAUCUGUAGCGGGUCUGAGAGGAUGAUCCGCCACACUGGGACUGAGACACGGCCCAGACUCCUACGGGAGGCAGCAGUGGGGAAUAUUGGACAAUGGGGGCAACCCUGAUCCAGCAAUGCCGCGUGUGUGAAGAAGGCCUGCGGGUUGUAAAGCACUUUUAGCGAUGAGGAAGGGUGAGUGUCGAAUAGGCAUUCACUUUGACGUUAGUCGCAGAAAAAGCACCGGCUAACUCUGUGCCAGCAGCCGCGGUAAUACAGAGGGUGCAAGCGUUAAUCGGAAUGACUGGGCGUAAAGGGUGCGUAGGUGGCCUAUUAAGUUAGUUGUGAAAUCCCCGGGCUUAACCUGGGAACUGCAAUUGAUACUGGUAAGCUAGAGUUUGGAAGAGGAUAGUGGAAUUUCCGGUGUAGCGGUGAAAUGCGUAGAUAUCGGAAGGAACACCAGUGGCGAAGGCGACUAUCUGGCCCAAAACUGACACUGAGGCACGAAAGCGUGGGUAGCGAACAGGAUUAGAUACCCUGGUAGUCCACGCCGUAAACGAUGAGAACUAGAUGAAGGAUAGGUUAAACCUAUUUUGUAUCGAAGCUAACGCGUUAAGUUCUCCGCCUGGGGAGUACGGUCGCAAGAUUAAAACUCAAAGAAAUUGACGGGGACCCGCACAAGCGGUGGAGCAUGUGGUUUAAUUCGAUGCAACGCGAAGAACCUUACCUACCCUUGACAUGUAUAGAAGUCUGAAGAGAUUUGGACGUGCCCGCAAGGGAGCUAUAACACAGGUGCUGCAUGGCUGUCGUCAGCUCGUGUCGUGAGAUGUUGGGUUAAGUCCCGUAACGAGCGCAACCCUUGUCCUUAGUUGCCAACACGUAAAGGUGGGAACUCUAAGGAGACUGCCGGUGAUAAACCGGAGGAAGGUGGGGAUGACGUCAAGUCCUCAUGGCCCUUAUGGGUAGGGCUACACACGUGCUACAAUGGGCGUUACAGAGGGAAGCGAAGCCGCGAGGUGGAGCGAAUCUCACAAAGGCGUUCGUAGUCCGGAUUGAAGUCUGGAACUCGACUUCAUGAAGUCGGAAUCGCUAGUAAUCGCGGAUCAGCAUGCCGCGGUGAAUACGUUCUCGGGUCUUGUACACACCGCCCGUCACACCAUGGGAGUGGAUGGUACCAGAAGUAGGUAGGUUAACCGCAAGGGGGCCGCUUACCACGGUAUAGUUCAUGACUGGGGUGAAGUCGUAACAAGGUAGCCGUAGGGGAACCUGCGGCUGGAUCACCUCCUU
rnacentral:rRNA from 1 species